CAGCAGCCGCCACGGUAGUACAGAGGGUGCGAGCGUUAAUCGGAUUUACUGGGCGUAAAGCGUGCGUAGGCGGCUUCUUAAGUCGGAUGUGAAAUCCCUGAGCUUAACUUAGGAAUUGCAUUCGAUACUGGGAAGCUAGAGUAUGGGAGAGGAUGGUAGAAUUCCAGGUGUAGCGGUGAAAUGCGUAGAGAUCUGGAGGAAUACCGAUGGCGAAGGCAGCCAUCUGGCCUAAUACUGACGCUGAGGUACGAAAGCAUGGGGAGCAAACAGGAUUAGAUACCCGGGUAGUCCCUGUCUCUUAUAC
rnacentral:rRNA from 1 species